UACCUGGAUCUUUUUUGAGGUUAUACUGC
rnacentral:piRNA from 1 species